ACCUGCCCUGGAGUGGGGGACAACAGUUGGAAACGACUGCUAAUACCGCAUAAGCCCACGAUCCGGCAUCGGAUUGAGGGAAAAGGAUUUAUUCGCUUCAGGAUGGACUCGCGUCCAAUUAGCUAGUUGGUGAGGUAACGGCCCACCAAGGCAACGAUUGGUAGCCGGACUGAGAGGUUGAACGGCCACAUUGGGACUGAGACACGGCCCAGACUCCUACGGGAGGCAGCAGUGGGGGAUAUUGCACAAUGGGGGAAACCCUGAUGCAGCGACGCCGCGUGGAGGAAGAAGGUUUUCGGAUUGUAAACUCCUGUCGUUAGGGACGAUAAUGACGGUACCUAACAAGAAAGCACCGGCUAACUACGUGCCAGCAGCCGCGCUAAAACGUAGGGUGCAAGCGUUGUCCGGAAUUACUGGGUGUAAAGGGAGCGCAGGCGGACCGGCAAGUUGGAAGUGAAAACUAUGGGCUCAACCCAUAAAUUGCUUUCAAAACUGCUGGCCUUGAGUAGUGCAGAGGUAGGUGGAAUUCCCGGUGUAGCGGUGGAAUGCGUAGAUAUCGGGAGGAACACCAGUGGCGAAGGCGACCUACUGGGCACCAACUGACGCUGAGGCUCGAAAGCAUGGGUAGCAAACAGGAUUAGAUACCCUGGUAGUCCAUGCCGUAAACGAUGAUUACUAGGUGUUGGAGGAUUGACCCCUUCAGUGCCGCAGUUAACACAAUAAGUAAUCCACCUGGGGAGUACGACCGCAAGGUUGAAACUCAAAGGAAUUGA
rnacentral:rRNA from 1 species